AGAGUUUGAUCCUGGCUCAGAACGAACGCUGGCGGCGUGUCUAAGGCAUGCAAGUCGAACGUGUUGUGCCGCAAGGUACAGCAAGUGGCAAACGGGUGCCUAACACAUUGGUAACCUGCCUCCGACUCGGGUACAACCUGGAGAAAUCCGGGCUAAUCCCCGAUGAUCAUCCCGACGGUAUCCGUCGGGAUGUAAAGGUGCAAAUCGGUCGGAGAGGGGCCUAUGGUCUAUCAGCUAGUUGGUAGGGUAAUGGCCUACCAAGGCGACGACGGAUAGCGGGCGUGAGAGCGCGACCCGCCUCACUGGGACUGAGACACUGCCCAGACUCCUACGGGAGGCUGCAGUCAAGGAUCUUCCCCAAUGGCCGAAAGGCUGAGGGAGCGACGCCGCGUGCAGGAAGAAGCUCUUCGGAGUGUAAACUGCUUUUUUGUGGGAAAAACUAAUGAUGGUACCACAAGAAUAAGGGGCUGCUAACUUCGUGCCAGCAGCAGCGGUAAUACGAAGGCCCCGAGCGUUAUCCGGAUUUAUUGGGCGUAAAGAGCUCAAAGGUGGCUGAUCAGGUCUUUGGUUAAAUCCUGAUGCUCAACAUCAGAACUGCUAAGGAAACUAGUCAGCUUGAGGGCAGGAGAGGCAGACGGAAUUGCCGGUGUAGUAGUAAAAUGCGUUAAUAUCGGCAAGAACACCAAUAGCGAAGGCAGUCUGCUAGAAUGACCCUGACACUACACGAGCGAAAGCGUGGGUAGCGAUACGGAUUAGAUACCCUGGUAGUC
rnacentral:rRNA from 1 species